rnacentral:rRNA from 1 species
UACAGAGGGGGCAAGCGUUGUUCGGAAUUACUGGGCGUAAAGGGCGCGUAGGCGGCCUUCUAAGUCGAACGUGAAAUCCCUGGGCUCAACCCAGGAACUGCGUCCGAUACUGGAAGGCUUGAAUCCGGGAGAGGGAUGCGGAAUUCCAGGUGUAGCGGUGAAAUGCGUAGAUAUCUGGAGGAACACCGGUGGCGAAGGCGGCAUCCUGGGCCGGUAUUGACGCUGAGGAGCGAAAGCCAGGGGAGCAAACGGG